UUUGUGACUGAGCAAAUAAUGGAUAAAUAUUAAUAUCAAUAUUUUUUAGUUCUAAUGUGACUGAGCAAAAGAAAUUGAUCAUCUCUCAACUACUUAAUGUUAGAAACUCUACAUAUCUGGAGAAGUACUUCGACUUAUCAAACAUGGCGGGUAGAGGAAAGAGAUCGGCUUUUCAAGGACUGAACGAUAGGAUAAAAAGAAAAAUUAGCAGAUGGAGUAUCAGGCUUAUUUCAUAAAGGGGAAAGGAGGUAUUUAUCAGGAACUAAAUUGAAGACAAAAGGAAAUUUAGGGGGAAAAAGCGUGCAUUUAAAGACAAAAUGAGUCAGCAUGGGAAAUAGGGAAGAAGUGGUGCCAAAAA